GUCGAGCGGUAGCACAGAGAGCUUGCUCUCGGGUGACGAGCGGCGGACGGGUGAGUAAUGUCUGGGAAACUGCCUGAUGGAGGGGGAUAACUACUGGAAACGGUAGCUAAUACCGCAUAACGUCGCAAGACCAAAGUGGGGGACCUUCGGGCCUCAUGCCAUCAGAUGUGCCCAGAUGGGAUUAGCUAGUAGGUGGGGUAACGGCUCACCUAGGCGACGAUCCCUAGCUGGUCUGAGAGGAUGACCAGCCACACUGGAACUGAGACACGGUCCAGACUCCUACGGGAGGCAGCAGUGGGGAAUAUUGCACAAUGGGCGCAAGCCUGAUGCAGCCAUGCCGCGUGUGUGAAGAAGGCCUUCGGGUUGUAAAGCACUUUCAGCGGGGAGGAAGGCGAUAAGGUUAAUAACCUUGUCGAUUGACGUUACCCGCAGAAGAAGCACCGGCUAACUCCGUGCCAGCAGCCGCGGUAAUACGGAGGGUGCAAGCGUUAAUCGGAAUUACUGGGCGUAAAGCGCACGCAGGCGGUCUGUCAAGUCGGAUGUGAAAUCCCCGGGCUCAACCUGGGAACUGCAUUCGAAACUGGCAGGCUAGAGUCUUGUAGAGGGGGGUAGAAUUCCAGGUGUAGCGGUGAAAUGCGUAGAGAUCUGGAGGAAUACCGGUGGCGAAGGCGGCCCCCUGGACAAAGACUGACGCUCAGGUGCGAAAGCGUGGGGAGCAAACAGGAUUAGAUACCCUGGUAGUCCACGCCGUAAACGAUGUCGAUUUGGAGGUUGUGCCCUUGAGGCGUGGCUUCCGGAGCUAACGCGUUAAAUCGACCGCCUGGGGAGUACGGCCGCAAGGUUAAAACUCAAAUGAAUUGACGGGGGCCCGCACAAGCGGUGGAGCAUGUGGUUUAAUUCGAUGCAACGCGAAGAACCUUACCUGGUCUUGACAUCCACAGAACUU
rnacentral:rRNA from 1 species